rnacentral:rRNA from 1 species
GCGAAAGCAAAAGGCUUUGGUGCGACGGGAAGAAGCUCAAACAGUGAUGAUAAUGGACAGCUGUAUCUUACACUUUUGUACUCUCGGUAUGGCAAGACUUAAUGCAGCUCAGGAAAUAUGUUGAAGCCAAAUCCAACCGAGUUAGGAGGUGAAUCUAAAAUUAAUAUUACUCAUGGUCCCGAUGGGGUUCAUCUUUCGACGGUCGUUUUAGAUCACGAUCAUACAUUAAAUCUGUAUAAGUUUUGGUUAUUCAGAUGCAACAAGAAGUUAGACUUUCAUGUCAAGCGAAGGCUUGAGCUGGCUGAUUGGGCUGGAAUAUAAGUAAACUCGAUUUUCAAUUUUUUUGUUGUACAAGCAGAUGGUCAUGCGAACCUAUCUUUUGCUGAGAAAAAUUGUCACAACUUUCUAGAGACAAGAAGGUUGAAACUUGGCAGAGGUAAUGCUUAAGCGGUUGGUGACUAUUUUUUCUAAAUGCAGUCCUGCAACCGAAAUUUAUUUAGUGUCAUAGAUUUAAAUGAUGAAUAGUGACUUAAGAAUGUUUUUUGGGCUGAUGCGAGAAGUAGAGUAGUGUAUAACUCUUUUUGUUGAUGUCAUUAGUUUCAUACAACAUAUUUGAUGAACAAAUAUGGUAUAACUUUUGCUUGUUUUGUCAUAGUGAAUCAUCAUGACCAAUCAAUGUUGCUAGGAAGUGAUUUAUUAUCAAAUGAAGAUACUGAAGCAUUUGCUUGGUUAUUUAUUGCAUGGCUCACGUGUAUUUCAAAUCGACAACUAAAAGAAAUUGUAGAUGAUCAAGCAAAAGCAAUUAAGAAUGGUGUGGAAAUAGUUUUUCCAGAAUCUCGAUAUAGAUGGUGCUUGUGGCAUAUAAUGAAAAAGAUACUUGAGAAGUUCGAUGUAUAUGCUGAAUAUGUGCACAUCAAGGUUGCUGUUGGCAAGGCAGCUUAUGAUUCGUUAACAAUUACAAAGUUUUAAGUUGCUUGGAUGCAUAUGCUUGAAAUAUGAUCUUGGACUCCUGGUGAUAAUAAAUGACUUAAAGGGCUUUACGACUAUCGGCACCGUUGGGUUCUAGCAUUUGUGAAAGACUUUUGCUCAGAUAUGUCUACUACACAACAUAGUGAGAGUAUGAAUGCUUUAUUUGAUGAGUAUGUUAACACAAAAACUACAUUGAAGCAUUUUGUUAGCCAAUAUGAUAAUGCUCUUUAUGAUAAAGUUGAGAAGGAGAAUAUUGCCGAUUUCAGUUCUUUCAAUUCAACCAUACCUUGUAUCACACACUUUGAGAUGGAGAAGCAAUUUCAACAAAUCUAUUAAAAAUUGAAGUUCAAAGAACUUCAGAAAAAUCUAACAAACAAGAUGUACUGCAAUCAAAAGCUAAUAUUCAAAGAAGGGGAGAUAUAAGCAUAUGAAAUUACCAAGGAUGUGUUGAUUGAUCGAGAAAAAGGAUGGAGAAAAUAUAUUGUGUACCAUGUAUACUUUAGCGAGGAAGAGAUUGAAGUUGCUUUGAAUUCAGAGGUACUCCCUAGGCAUGUGUUAUGUGUGCUCACUCGCAAGAAAACCAAAGAGAUUCCUCCAAAAUACAUUCUUGAUCGAUGGAAAAAAAGUGAAGCAAACACAACUUCAUCAGAUGCACAUCUAUAUGUUGGCAUGAGAGACAUUCCUAUUGCAAAAUAUUUGUUUUGA